AUGGGGCUGCAAUUCGACCGUGAGUCGGAUCAGAGCUACCAGGAGAAGAGGAUACGGAUUAGCGGAGCAGUCAUGAGAACAAAUAUUGCCAUUCAACAACAUACAAAUAAGGUUUACACCAGGAAAAUGUUUGAGCAAUUUGAUGAGAACCUUUUUGAGGGUCGGGCUUACCAGGUCGAGGAAAUUGAGAAGAAGUACAUUGCAAGACACAACGAUGUCGAGAAACACCAGAAGUGGAGCGUGAUUGAUUACGAGGUGACCAUGUCGGACGAUGGCGAGUGGUUCGAGUGUGAAUGCGGGCAAUUCACCCUCAUGGGGAUGCUUUGUUACCAUGCUUUGAAGGUGAUGGACUAUGUUGGCGUGAAGGAGAUGCCAAAGCGGCACAUCCUCAAGAGAUGGACGAAAGAUGCUAGGGAUAUCCUGCCCCGGCAUCUUGCUCACUUCAAAACAGACCAGGCCAAAUGUGGUGCCGGGCGACCAUGCUUCAGUAGGAAGAAGGCACCAUAUGAAGGACUGAUUAAAAGGACAAAGUUCUGCAGCAUUUGCAAAUUGCCAGGACAUGAGAAGACUACCUGCCCUGACAGGGGUGCCAAAACCUACAACCUGCAAGAACUGUGGCAUCGCCGGACACCGUCGCACUUCGUGCACCAGGCCGCUGUUCGCUGA
rnacentral:rRNA from 1 species